AACGAACGCUGGCGGCAGGCUUAACACAUGCAAGUCGACCGCCCCGCAAGGGGAGUGGCAGACGGGUGAGUAACGCGUGGGAAUCUACCCAGAUCUCCGGAACAACUGAGGGAAACUUCAGCUAAUACCGGAUACGCCCUACGGGGGAAAGAUUUAUCGGUUCUGGAUGAGCCCGCGUUGGAUUAGCUAGUUGGUGGGGUAAUGGCCUACCAAGGCGACGAUCCAUAGCUGGUCUGAGAGGAUGAUCAGCCACACUGGGACUGAGACACGGCCCAGACUCCUACGGGAGGCAGCAAUGGGGAAUAUUGGACAAUGGGCGAAAGCCUGAUCCAGCCAUGCCGCGUGAGUGAUGAAGGCCUUAGGGUUGUAAAGCUCUUUCAGUAGGGAAGAUAAUGACGGUACCUACAGAAGAAGCCCCGGCUAACUUCGUGCCAGCAGCCGCUGUAAAAC
rnacentral:rRNA from 1 species